rnacentral:rRNA from 1 species
GACGAACGCUGGCGGCGUGCCUAAUACAUGCAAGUUGAGCGAUGAAGAUUGGUGCUUGCCCCAAUUUGAAGAGCAGCGAACGGGUGAGUAACGCGUGGGGAAUCUGCCUUUGAGCGGGGGACAACAUUUGGAAACGAAUGCUAAUACCGCAUAACAACUUUAAACAUAAGUUUUAAGUUUGAAAGAUGCAAUUGCAUCACUCAAAGAUGAUCCCGCGUUGUAUUAGCUAGUUGGUGAGGUAAAGGCUCACCAAGGCGAUGAUACAUAGCCGACCUGAGAGGGUGAUCGGCCACAUUGGGACUGAGACACGGCCCAAACGCCUACGGGAGGCAGCAGUAGGGAAUCUUCGGCAAUGGACGAAAGUCUGACCGAGCAACGCCGCGUGAGUGAAGAAGGUUGUCGGAUCGUAAAACUCUGUUGGUAGAGAAGAACGUUGGUGAGAGUGGAAAGCUCAUCAAGUGACGGUAACUACCCAGAAAGGGACGGCUAACUACGUG